CAAACGGUCCUUUUAUGGACCACCAAAAAUAUUUCCUCAAGAGUUGU
rfam:Aedes albopictus isolate Foshan contig91739, whole genome shotgun sequence.